AACUUUUAGCAACGGAUCACUUGGUUCCAGCAUCGAUGAAGAACGCAGCGAAAUGCGAUAAGUAAUGUGAAUUGCAGAAUUCCGUGAAUCAUCGAAUCUUUGAACGCACAUUGCGCCCCCUGGUAUUCCGGGGGGCAUGCCUGUCCGAGCGUCAUUUCAACCCUCAAGCCCGGCUUGUGUGAUGGGCGCCCGUCCGCUACGCCCCCUUGUGGGGUCCGGUGGACGCGCCUGAAAGGCAGCGGCGGCGUUUUGGUCAUCCAAUCGCUCAAGUGCAUGGGGAUUUGUUUCACGCACGAGAGUGGGGGCCGGCGCCAGCCAACCACCACAUCUUUCUUAGGUUGACCUCGGAUCAGGUAGGGAUACCCGCUGAACUUAAGCAUAUCAAUAAGCGGAGGC
rnacentral:misc_RNA from 1 species